UACGUAGGGGGCAAGCGUUGUCCGGAAUCAUUGGCGUAAAGCGCGUGUAGGCGGUCCGGUAAGUCCGCUGUGAAAGUCGGGGGCUCAACCCUCGGAUGCCGGUGGAUACUGUCGGGCUUGAGUACGGAAGAGGCGAGUGGAAUUCCGUGGUGUAGCGGUGAAAUGCGCAGAUAUCAAGGAGGAACACCAAUUGCGAAGGCAG
rnacentral:rRNA from 1 species